rnacentral:rRNA from 1 species
GAUGAACGCUGGCGGCGUGCCUAAUACAUGCAAUUCGAGCGAACAGACGAGGAGCUUGCUCCUCUGACGUUAGCGGCGGACGGGUGAGUAACACGUGGAUAACCUACCUAUAAGACUGGGAUAACUUCGGGAAACCGGAGCUAAUACCGGAUAAUAUAUUGAACCGCAUGGUUCAAUAGUGAAAGACGGUUUUGCUGUCACUUAUAGAUGGAUCCGCGCCGCAUUAGCUAGUUGGUAAGGUAACGGCUUACCAAGGCGACGAUGCGUAGCCGACCUGAGAGGGUGAUCGGCCACACUGGAACUGAGACACGGUCCAGACUCCUACGGGAGGCAGCAGUAGGGAAUCUUCCGCAAUGGGCGAAAGCCUGACGGAGCAACGCCGCGUGAGUGAUGAAGGUCUUCGGAUCGUAAAACUCUGUUAUUAGGGAAGAACAAAUGUGUAAGUAACUAUGCACGUCUUGACGGUACCUAAUCAGAAAGCCACGGCUAACUACGUG